UACGGGGGGGGUAAGCGUUGUUCGGAAUUACUGGGCGUAAAGGGCUCGUAGGCGGCCAACUAAGUCAUACGUGAAAUCCCUCAGCUUAACUGGGGAACUGCGUGUGAUACUGGAUGGCUUGGAUUUGGGAGAGGGAUGCGGAAUUCUAGGUGUAGCGGUGAAAUGCGUAGAUAUCUGGAGGAACACCGGUGGCGAAGGCGGCAUCCUGGACCAAUAUUGACGCUGAGGCGCGAAAGCGAGGGGAGCAAACGGG
rnacentral:rRNA from 1 species